UACGAAGGGGGCUAGCGUUGUUCGGAAUUACUGGGCGUAAAGGGCGCGUAGGCGGUGUGUCAAGUCAGGCGUGAAAGCCCCGGGCUCAACCUGGGAACAGCGCUUGAGACUGGCACGCUCGAGUUCGGGAGAGGAUGGUGGAAUUCCCAGUGUAGAGGUGAAAUUCGUAGAUAUUGGGAAGAACACCGAUGGCGAAGGCAGCCAUCUGGACCGACACUGACGCUGAGGCGCGAAAGCGUGGGUAGCAAACAGG
rnacentral:rRNA from 1 species